UCUGGGGUAGUUUAACCUUUUUUAAAAUGUGAGUUUGUGGAGCUUAAGAUAGUCGCUGAGUUCCCAGGU
rnacentral:tRNA from 1 species